AUUGAACGCUGGCGGCAGGCCUAACACAUGCAAGUCGAGCGAGCGGCGGACGGGUGAGUAAUGUAUGGGGACUGCUCGAUAGAGGGGGAUAACUACUGGAAACGGUGGCUAAUACCGUAUACUAUCGGAUAACCCAUAUGGGAUUAGCUAGUAGGUGGGGUAAAGGCUCACCGAGGCGACGAUCUCUAGCUGGUCUUAGAGGAUGCUCAGCCACACUGGCACUGAGACACUGCCCAGACCGCUUCGGCGGCAGCAGUGGGGCAUAUGGCAGAAUGGGCGCAAGCCUGGUGCAGCCAUACCGCGUGUAUGACGAAGGCCGUAGGGUUGUAAGGAACGUUCAGGGUGUAGGCGUUACCCGAAGAAGAAGCACCGGAUAACUCCGUAGCAGCUGCCGCGGUAAUAG
rnacentral:rRNA from 1 species